AUUGGACGCUGGCGGCAUGCCUUACACAUGCAAGUCGAACGGUAACAGGUCUUCGGAUGCUGACGAGUGGCGAACGGGUGAGUAAUACAUCGGAACGUGCCUAGUAGUGGGGGAUAACUACUCGAAAGAGUGGCUAAUACCGCAUGAGAUCUACGGAUGAAAGCAGGGGAACGCAAGACCUUGUGCUACUAGAGCGGCCGAUGGCAGAUUAGGUAGUUGGUGGGAUAAAAGCUUACCAAGCCGACGAUCUGUAGCUGGUCUGAGAGGGCGAGCAGCACCACUGGGACUGAGACACGGCCCAGACUCCUACGGGAGGCAGCAGUGGGGAAUUUUGGACAAUGGGCGAAAGCCUGAUCCAGCAAUGCCGCGUGCAGGAUGAAGGCCUUCGGGUUGUAAACUGCUUUUGUACGGAACGAAAAGCCCCGGGUUAAUACCCUGGGGUCAUGACGGUACCGUAAGAAUAAGCACCGGCUAACUACGUGCCAGCAGCCGCGGUAAUAC
rnacentral:rRNA from 1 species